rnacentral:sRNA from 1 species
GGAGGACUGCAAUGUGCACUCGGCCGCCAGCAUCCUGGCCUCGGUGAAGGAGCAGGAGGCCCGCUUCGAGAGGCUGACACGGGCACUGGAGCAGGAGCGGCGCCAUGUUGCCCUGCAACUGGAGCGUGCCCAGCAGCCUGGCAUGGUCAGUGGUGGCAUGGGCGGUGGGCAGCCCCUGCCAAUGGCCUGGCAACAGCUGGUCCUCCAGGAACAGAGCCCAGGCAGCCAGGCCUCACUGGCCACGAUGCCGGAGGCACCUGAUGUGCUGGAGGAGACCGUGACGGUGGAGGAGGACCCCGGCACGCCCACUUCCCAUGUGUCUAUUGUCACAUCCGAAGAUGGCACGACCCGGCGCACCGAGACCAAGGUCACCAAGACUGUCAAGACGGUGACCACUCGGACAGUACGCCAGGUGCCCGUAGGCCCAGACGGACUCCCCCUGCUGGAUGGCGGCCCCCCACUAGGCCCUUUUGCAGAUGGUGCCCUGGACCGGCAUUUCCUGCUGCGUGGUGGUGGCCCAGCGGCCACACUCUCUCGAGCCUACCUCAGCAGCGGGAGUGGCUUUCCCGAAGGCCCCGAGCCCCGGGACAGCACCAGCUAUGGCAGCCUGUCCCGAGGGCUGGGCAUGCGGCCCCCACAUGUGGGCCUCCUUGGCCCAGGCCCUGGUGAUGGCUGCUUCACGCUGCCUGGCCACCGGGAAGCCUUCCCGGUGGGUCCUGAGCCUGGGCCACCAGGUGGCCGCUCCCUGCCCGAGCGCUUCCAGGCAGAGCCGUAUGGCUUGGAGGAUGACACGCGCAGCCUGGCCGCUGAUGACGAGGGUGGCCCUGAGCUGGAGCCUGACUAUGGCACGGCCACGAGGAGGAGGCCUGAGUGUGGGCGGGGCCUUCAUACCAGGUGAGCUGCACCCGGUCCCCUGUGGCUACCUCCUCUGGGAAGUCCGCUGUCCACCCCCCAACUACAGAGUGCCCCACUUGUCAAGUGGCUGCAGUUGAGUUAGUCAUGCACGUUAGUUUGAAUUGGCCUUGGCUCUCGUCAGGGACAGAAGAAAGGUGGACCCUGGGAUGGUAGGAGUUCGGCUGGGCACUGUCCUGCAGGCCCAGGGCCCAGGAAAAGCUGGGAAGAGUGCCGGCCACUGGCCUUGCUCCAGCCACACUCUGGGUAACCAGAACCCAGAGCCCUGGCCCUUGUCACAGCCCCUGGUUCUGUCCCCAUUGCCCUCAGUUUCUGCAUCUCUGGAGUGGGGAUGUGACCACAGCCCGGGUCUGGAUUUUGUUGUGUGACCCUGGCCAAGUCACCUGACCGUCACUCCUAGCCUCAGGGCAGGGGGUUUGAUGACAGCAACCCACAGGGCUACUGAGAGCUAAGGAGAUCUUGUGCCCCAAGGGGCUGGUGGCCUGAAUACCCCUCAGGUGGUCCUGCUGGGAUGGCUUCAUGCGGAGAGGCCAUUUACUCCCCUACAUCCUGGCACAGCCAGAGAUGGGCCUCAUGGAAGAUGGGGUGGUUUUGUGGAAGGGAGGUGAGACGGUCUUUCCAGCAGCCAUAGCAGAUGUCGCACAGAAACAUGUUUUGCUCAGGAUCGGGAAACUGCCCGGUGACAGCAGUGAGUGAGCUUGCUGUCCUGGGAGGGUUACCUGGGUCCUGAUAGCCGCUGGCUGGGGUUUGGCAUUUGGCUCUGAAUUGGUUCUCACUGGGCUGGUGCAUGACUCUCUGUGUCCCCACCAUGCUCCGGGCCGAGAUACAGGUGCUCUCAGCCCAGCCUUGCUGGGUGAGUUUGCAGUCCUGAAGAAGGUGUGAUGGGGCAGCUCAGAGGCAGGGCUGGCGGCUGCUGUGACGAUGUCCACGCGCCCCACUUGCCUGUGCAGGGCCUACGAGGACACAGCAGAUGAUGGCGGCGAGCUGACGGACGAGCGGCCUGCGUUCCCAACGGUGACGGCGCCCCUGGCCCAGCCUGAACGGGGCAGCCUGGGCAGCCUGGACCGGCUGGUGCGGCGCUCGCCCUCAGUGGAUAGCGCCCGCAAGGAGCCGCGCUGGCGGGACCCUGAGCUGCCUGAGGUGCUGGCCAUGCUGCGGCACCCCGUGGACCCCGUGAAGGCCAAUGCGGCUGCCUA